rnacentral:rRNA from 1 species
UACGUAGGGGGCGAGCGUUGUCCGGAUUUAUUGGGCGUAAAGAGCGUGUAGGCGGCCAGAUAGGUCUGCUGUGAAAACUCGAGGCUCAACCUCGAGCUGUCGGCGGAAACCAUCUGGCUAGAGUCCGGAAGAGGAGAGUGGAAUUCCCGGUGUAGCGGUGAAAUGCGUAGAUAUCUGGAGGAACAUCAGUGGCGAAGGCGACACCCUGGACUCAUACUGACGGCUGAGACGCGAAAGCGUGGGGAGCAAACAGG